GUGCGAACGUGACGUCCGCGACGCAGUGAAGACUUCCGGCGCGCCGCGUCACGUGUUCCGCACCGGAAGCGCACUUCCAGUCACCCCGGCAACAGCCGCCCCCCUCCGGUCCCCCACUCCCCCUCUGUCUCCAAGAAAAAUUUGACCCCUGCUCGGCCACCGCCCAAGAUCUGCAAGCUGCGAGCCCACGAGCCCCACCAGCCCAUUAGGAGAAAAGUUACUGUUCAGUCCGUGAAGGCUUGUGCCAUGAAAGAGUAGGAGACAUUCCCAGGGAGUUUCGGCACCCAUUUGGAUUUUCACAAUCAGAGAUGGCAGCGAUGAAGGCAUCAACGUUGAAAGCUACCAGGCCUUGGUAUUCUCAUCC